rnacentral:piRNA from 1 species
UGAGUUGAGCAUGCCAAGGUAGUAAUGGU